UACGUAGGGUGCAAGCGUUGUCCGGAAUUAUUGGGCGUAAAGAGCUCGUAGGCGGUUUGUCGCGUCGAAUGUGAAAACCCGGGGGCUCAACCCCGGGCCUGCAUUCGAUACGGGCAGACUAGAGUUCGGUAGGGGAGUCUGGAAUUCCUGGUGUAGCGGUGAAAUGCGCAGAUAUCAGGAGGAACACCGGUGGCGAAGGCGGGACUCUGGGCCGAUACUGACGCUGAGGAGCGAAAGCGUGGGGAGCAAACAGG
rnacentral:rRNA from 1 species